GCGGGAGUGGCGGAACUGGCAGACGCGCAGGAUUUAGGUUCCUGUGCCUUCGGGUGUGAGGGUUCGAGUCCCUCCUCCCGCA
rnacentral:tRNA from 1 species